rfam:Nematostella vectensis strain CH2 x CH6 NEMVEscaffold_36_Cont6172, whole genome shotgun sequence.
GUUGCGGUGGCCGAGUGGUUAAGGCGUUGGACUAGAAAUCCAAUGGGAUCUUCCUGCGCAGGUUCGAGUCCAGCCCCCCCUA